rnacentral:rRNA from 1 species
GAUGAACGCUGGCGGCGUGCCUAAUACAUGCAAGUCGAGCGAACAGACGAGGAGCGUGCUCCUCUGACGUUAGCGACGGGCGGGUGAGUAACACGAGGAUGACCUACCUAUAAGACUGGGAUAGCUUCGGGAAGCCGGAUAUAAUACCGGACAAUAUAUUGAAACGCAGGGAUCAAUAGUGCAAGACGGAUUUGCUGUGACUUAUAGAGGGAUCCGCGCCGCAUGAGCUAGUGGGUAGGGUAACGGCUUACCAAGGCAACGAUGCGUAGCCGGCCUGAGAGGACGAUCGGCCACACUGGGACUGAGACACGGCCCAGACUCCUACGGGAGGCAGCAGUGGGGAAUUUUGGACAAUGGGGGAAAGCCUGAUCCAGCCAUGCCGCGUGCGGGAAGAAGGCCUUCGGGUCGUAAACCGCUUUUGUUCGGGAAGAAAUCCUCUGGGCUAAUACCCCGGGGGGAUGACGGUACCGGAAGAAUAAGCCCCGGCUAACUACGUG